rnacentral:rRNA from 1 species
ACGGGAGGCAGCAGUGGGGAAUAUUGGGCAAUGGGCGAAAGCCUGACCCAGCAACGCCGCGUGAAGGAAGAAGGUCUUCGGAUUGUAAACUUCUUUUAUGAGGGGCGAAUGAAUGACGGUACCUCAUGAAUAAGCCACGGCUAACUACGUGCCAGCAGCCGCGGUAAUACGUAGGGGGCAAGCGUUAUCCGGAUUUACUGGGUGUAAAGGGCGCGUAGGCGGGAAAGCAAGUCAGAUGUGAAAUCCAUGGGCUUAACUCAUGAACUGCAUUUGAAACUGUUUUUCUUGAGUGUCGGAGAGGUAGAUGGAAUUCCUAGUGUAGCGGUGAAAUGCGUAGAUAUUAGGAAGAACACCAGUGGCGAAGGCGAGCUACUGGACGAUAACUGACGCUGAGGCGCGAAAGCGUGGGGAGCAAACAGGAUUAGAUACCCUGGUA